AUUUUUUUUACUUUUUGAUAGCUUUUAAAAACUAUCAGAUAUGUGAUAAUCAGAUAGAUUUCAAGUUUACUUACGGUGUAAAUUAGGAAAAUGUUUAUAAAGAUUCUAUCCAGUAUUGAUCAAAAGUAUAAAUUGUGUGUCUUUUUAAGCAGCAGUUUGGCAAUGACAAUCAAAUUGAUACUAUGUAAAAGUUUUGAAAUGUUAUAGCUGGCUACUGGGGUUUUUAUCUAUUCCAAUUCUCGAAAAUUUACCAAAUAUAGGUUGGCUGUAAAAUCAUAACUAUCUGAGGUAUCUGUCAAUAAAUCAAAGAUUGCAAUGAUUAUAGCUUCUUUAACAUGAAUGUAAUUCUAACAGUAAAAAAUUUCUAUAUGGAAUAUGUUUUGUAGUCCUAAAUUGAUAUUUUAUAUCAUUUUUCAGUGAACAAGUAGUUGUUUGCAGGUGUCUGUGCAUAUGUCUCUAGUUUUUCUAACUAAAAUAUUAAUAGUUAAGUCUAAAAAUAUGAAUUAUACGUGGGGCUUGUCAUUCUGACAUUUAAUACUUCAGCGUGGUGAUAAUGGUGAUAUAAUAUACUGUUUGAAACUGUAACACGAGUUAAAAUCAAAAGAUUGAUAUGUACAUAUUUGUAUAUUGCUACAUGACAAAAAUCUAGGAAGAAUAUGAUUCACAUGAAAAUUCUUUGGAAGGACAUGACAGAUUUUUAACAGUCCUGUAUAGUGAAAGGAGAAUAGAACGACUACUUCUGCUUUCUGUAUCUGAAAUUUUCAAAAGCUAUUUCAAAAUGAACAUUUAAACAACAGGAAAUUUUAGAGACAACCACUUUGUGCCUGUCUUCAUCCUUGACAUUCAACAUCCUAGGAACAAUGGGCUGUUGUAUUCAACUUCUUAUUCCCAACAGCCAUUAUGAAUGGUUUUUGAUUGAUCUCACAAAGAGCAUGUGAUUUAGACAUUAAUGCAGCGACUACCAUGAAACAGAGUAUUGGAUUACCUAAGGAAAGAAGCAGAAGAUGGAAUUUGAGGCAAUCAGGAUGAGUGAAAAAUUUAUUUGCAGCUGACCUGCAAAUGGAAUCAUCAGGAACAUCCCUUUCUCAUGGAGUCCCUUAAUUUACAAGUUAACUGCAAACAUAGGUAAGAAGGUUCUGGUGCUAUUUGGGGGUGAGGUAUUGGUGAGGUUUUGCCUAAGCUCAGGAAAAUAAUACUGGUACAGGUGUAUUUCUU
rnacentral:lncRNA from 1 species